AUUGAACGCUGGCGGCAGGCCUAACACAUGCAAGUCGAACGAGUCGCGGACGGGUGAGUAAUGUCUGUGAAACUCCCUGCUUGUGGGGGCUAACCACUGGAAACGGUAGCUAAUACCGCAUACCAUCAGAUGUGCCCAGAUGGGAUUAGCUAGUUUGUGGGGGAAGGGAUCACCAAAGCGACGAUCCCUAGCUGGUGUGAGAGGAUGACCAGCCAAACUGGAACUGAGACACGGCACAGACGCAUAGGGUAGGAAGGAGUGGGGAAUAUGGCACAAGGGGAGAAAGCGUGAUGGAGACAUGCCGCGUGGAUGAAGAAGGCAUUCGGGUUGUAAAGGAAUUUCAGCGGGGAGGAGUUACCCGCAGAAGAAGCACCGGCUAACUCCGUGCCAGCAGCCGCGGUAAUUC
rnacentral:rRNA from 1 species